GGAAGGGGUGUAUUUAUUAGAUAAAAAACCAACGCCCUUCGGGGCUCCUUGGUGAUUCAUAAUAACUAAACGAAUCGCAUGGCCUUGCGCCGGCGAUGGUUCAUUCAAAUUUCUGCCCUAUCAACUUUCGAUGGUAGGAUAGUGGCCUACCAUGGUAUCAACGGGUAACGGGGAAUUAGGGUUCUAUUCCGGAGAGGGAGCCUGAGAAACGGCUACCACAUCCAAGGAAGGCAGCAGGCGCGCAAAUUACCCAAUCCCGACACGGGGAGGUAGUGACAAUAAAUACUGAUACAGGGCUCUUUUGGGUCUUGUAAUUGGAAUGAGUACAAUUUAAAUCCCUUAACGAGGAACAAUUGGAGGGCAAGUCUGGUGCCAGCAGCCGCGGUAAUUCCAGCUCCAAUAGCGUAUAUUAAAGUUGUUGCAGUUAAAAAGCUCGUAGUUGAACCUUGGGCCUGGCUGGCCGGUCCGCCUCACCGCGUGUACUGGUCCGGCCGGGCCUUUCCUUCUGGGGAGCCGCAUGCCCUUCACUGGGCGUGUCGGGGAACCAGGACUUUUACUUUGAAAAAAUUAGAGUGUUCAAAGCANGCCUUUGCUCGAAUACAUUANCAUGGAAUAAUAGAAUAGGACUGCGGNUCUAUUUUGUUGGUUUCUAGGACGCCGUAAUGAUUAUANGGAUAGUCNGGGGCAUCANUAUUCAAUUGUCA
rnacentral:rRNA from 1 species